UUCAGUUAGGAUGAGUUGCUUAUGGCUUUUUUACAUCAUCAAGCAUUGAUUUCUCCUAUCCUGAUUAUGUUAUAGUAGCAUUGCCAGAUCACUUGGACUUCCUCUAAACAAGAAGAAAUAUUAAGUUAUUCAUGUGAAAGCCCUUUCAUUGGGCCUCCCUAAAUCCUGCAUCUAUGAGAGCCUUACCAGCUAGGCCACCUUUCUUUAAUGUGAGAACCCUUACAUAUACACACUUCUCCUCUCUCUCUUACACAUACACACUUCUCAAUUUAGUGUCUAGUAAUUCCCAUGACUGAAUGCUUGAAUCUACUGUUGUGAUGUAGUAGGCCAC
rnacentral:lncRNA from 1 species